AGGGUUUGUAAGUGCGUUGCUGGCCUUUAAGAUGGGAGUACGCUCUUGAAGGUUUCGGGUGACAAUGCAAUAUUAUGGUACCAUCGAGCUGAUCUGACCAUGGAGACAGGAGGUGGCCAUAGGAACUCUGUGAUAAAACAACGCAACCUAAUUGUGUUUGGGGUUUUUUGAAUUGUCUCGAUGAGUAUUAGUUGCCUGUGGAAUGAAAAGUACAGUCAGCGAUAAAAGCUUGCACCAAAAAUGAAAUUUUU